rnacentral:lncRNA from 1 species
GGCUCCCAAUCGGAGUCGGAAAGAGCUCCCUCCGGCCCUAUUUAAGGAGGAGAACCCUCCUCUCUCCCUCUCAUCGAGAAAUCCCGGGGCAAAACGACGGCAAUCGCCGAAAAAUCCUCACGGAGACCCGUCACUGUAUCUGUCCAAUUGCUCGCCGGAAAAACCUCGCCGGCGUCGGAGGUAAGCCUCCUCCCCUUCCUCUCUUCUCCCAUUUUCUUUCCG